rfam:Acyrthosiphon pisum strain LSR1 Contig9102, whole genome shotgun sequence.
CAUCGCGAUGGCCCGGGACGGGUGUUGACGCGAUGUGAUUUCUGCCCAGUGCUCUGAAUGUCAACGUGAAGAAAUUCAAGCAAGCGCGGGUAAACGGCAGGAGUAACUAUGACUCUUUUACUAUGACGCAUUACAGGUGGUCUGCGUGAUAAGAAGUACGAAGUCGAGUGCGAAUACCUCUAUAAGCUGCAUGGCGGAAAUAUGAAGCCAGACAUCGUCGCGACGAUAAGUGACGAGACAAGAGGCCGUAUUUCCGUUAUAUGCGAUGUACAGAUAGUUUCUGGCUCCGGACCGAAAAGUUGGCACUCUAAUAAGGUCGACAAAUAUGCCGACCGAGCGGAUCUAAAAACCGCGAUCCGCGCACGACACCUAUCGACCGGCGUACAAACGGUCGCCGCUACGCUCACGUGGCGUGGCGUCUGGGUCCCCGAAAGCUUUCGGGAACUCAGGGAGCUUGGGUUAAGCCGUGGGCUGCUGGAGGGCUUGGUCACGCGUGUCCUCAAGGGCACCCAGCUUAACUGGUCUACGUUCAAUCAGCGGAAUUUGGCACCUCAUUCGCGGACGGGAGUCGGGUAAUAUUCUCCUUCAUAGCCGCAACAACUUCGGGCCUCCUCGACCCGAUCUUCCUUGAACUCUCUCCACUUAAUGACCUUCCUCUCCCUCUGAAAAGUACGUCCCAUUUACUCCCGGUAGGCGAGUAAAUGACGUCCCAGGUUACCCCGGGACUGCUUCUAUCCAUUCUGGCUUCGGGGUAAGUUGGAGUUCCCCUGUGCCGGGCGGUUGAUAACCGCUCGUCGCUGGUGAACUGAUAACUGAUACUAGCCAAAUGCCUCGUCAUCUAAUUAGUGACGCGCAUGAAUGGAUUAACGAGAUUCUCACUGUCCCUAUCUACUCG